GAUGAACGCUGGCGGCGUGCUUAAUACAUGCAAGUCGAACGGAGACAGUAGCAAUAUUGUCUUAGUGGCGAACGGGUGAGUAACGCGUUGGUGACCUGCCCCGAAGAGGGGGAUAACAGUCCGAAAGGAUUGCUAAUACCCCAUGUGGUCGUUUGGAUUAGAUGCCUUAUGACUAAACGGAUUUAUUCGCUUCGGGAGGGGCCUGCGUCCCAUCAGCUAGUUGGUAAGGUAAUGGCUUACCAAGGCGAUGACGGGUAGGGGACCUGAGAGGGUGGCCCCCCACAAUGGAACUGAAACACGGUCCAUACACCUACGGGUGGCAGCAGUAGGGAAUAUUGGUAAUCUGGGAAACCGGGAACCAGCAACGCCGCGUGCGCGAUGAAGGCCUUCGGGUUGUAAAGCGCUUUUUGAGGGGAUGAGGAAGGACAGUACCCUCAGAAUAAGCCUCGGCUAACUACGUGCCAGCAGCCGCCGCCGUAA
rnacentral:rRNA from 1 species